rnacentral:rRNA from 1 species
UACAGAGGUCUCAAGCGUUGUUCGGAUUCAUUGGGCGUAAAGGGUGCGUAGGUGGCGCUGUAAGUCGGGUGUGAAAUUUCGAGGCUUAACCUCGAAACUGCAUUCGAUACUGCGGUGCUUGAGGACUGGAGAGGAGACUGGAAUUCAUGGUGUAGCAGUGAAAUGCGUAGAGAUCAUGAGGAAGACCAGUGGCGAAGGCGGGUCUCUGGACAGUUCCUGACACUGAGGCACGAAGGCCAGGGGAGCAAACGGG